UUAUGCACUAUUAUGCUCCCGGAAAACUAUGAUUGAUCAUUGGGGAAUUGUGUUUUUCUGUGCAGCAGCAAUUAUACGCUCACCGCCCCAUUUCUGAUCGCAUCAUGGAACAGACCUCCCCUAGAAGUGUCUUGCACCUCCUCAUAGAUCCAGCAGGAAAAUAAUCGCAUUGACUUUUGGAAAAAAAUCCCCGGAGGUGCCGCGUGUAUGAAAUUGGAUAUUUAAAGGCGACGCGGAGCCGCUAGACGCAAUUUUCUGCACUGACUCUGGCUGCGCGAGGACAUCUGAGAGAGCAACAUAAUCUGGAACGCACCUUGACAAUGCUUCAGCUUGCGGGGAGCUUGAACGCGACAGGAGAGGAAACAAGUUACCGACGGCACUGGCUGAACACGACAGAAAUGUCGGGAGAGCACAGAUGAUGAGAGCCCCAUCCGAGACACCUGCAGUGGCUCUCUGAUCCAGUUGUCUGAUCCAGCGCUCACAAAGCCGAUAUCAGUAUCCUCAGUCAGCGCAUCAGCACUCGGCUCAAGUAGAACCCACAGGUCGGUUUGGCCUCUGCAGCAUUUCUCUCUCUCUCUCUCUCUCUCUCUCUCUCUCUCUCUUACUGUCUCCCUCCCUCCUGUUCUUUCUCUCCUGUCUGCAGGGAAGUUUCCCAUCUUCUCCUCUUUCGGGUUCACCUUGCCGGAGCGUCCUUGGAAACGUCUGUCGCCACACAGCGCUUGUCCCAGCAGCUUCAGAAGGAGCAUCAGAUGGAGCAGGCGAGGCAACCAGCUGAAGGUGACCUGUGGCUUGGCCAGGGGCUGCAACACAGGACAUGGGAGCUGCCUCUGUCUCCCGCUCGUGUCUUGUGUUGCAGCCAGUGGACUGGCGACACUCCCAGCACCAGCGCCAGCAUCAGCAAGAAACUGAGAAACAGAGAGAGAGAGAGAGAGAGAGAGAGAGAGAGAGAGGCACUGCUUCCCGCUCCCUUCCCCACCUCGAAGCAACAUCACACGGCACGGACGCGCUGUCGCUCUGGCAACAUCAAUGGCGGUGAUGUCAAUUUAUUUCAAACUUUACAUUAAUAUUCAUUUACUUUUCGUGUUAUGACUUCUUUUUUUCCCUCUAGAGUUAUUUAUAAUUCAGCAGAUUCUUUCUUUUCCCUGGAUGGAUUUAAAAACGAUGUUGGGUUCAUAGAGAUGAGGAGUCCCCUGGUAAAUAACUGUAUCACUGUUUGCAAGGAUCAAAUGCCAACUUUAGGAGUAAACUAAUGAGACUCUAAGUCUUACAUGAAGAGAUGCUGCAGCUGUUGGAUUUUAAAGUCACUUGAAAAAAGGACCCAUUUAAAUGAUCCCAAAGAAAGUAUCUAUUUUAAAGGAUGGGAGGUUUUUGCUUCAUGCAUAUAUCUGUUCUGAUUUGCAGAGGUAAAAAAAGAAGUCUUUUGUGUUCUUUGAAGGGAUGUGCAAUGGUAUUCAAAUGGUGGCAGGUUUAUUUUAAUGACAAGGAGUGCAUACACACACACACACACACACACACACACACACACACAC